UCCGCGAUAGAUGUGAUGUCCUGGAAUGGUAUUACGUCUAAAGGUAUUUCAUACAUGUUUGAUAUACGCCUAAGGAUGGGACUGCGGCUGAUCAGGCAGUUGGUGAGGUAAUGGCUCACCAAACCAUUGACCAGUACGGGCCAUGAGAGUGGUAGCCCGGAGAUGGACACUGAGACAAGGGUCCAGGCCCUACGGGGCGCAGCAGGCGCGAAACCUCCUCAAUGCACUAACGUGCGAAGGGGUUACCUCGAGUGCUAUCUGAUGAAGGUGGCUUUUCCAUGGUCUAAAAAGCCUAGGGAAUAAGAGGGGGGCAAGACUGGUGUCAGCCGCCGCGGUAACACCAGCCCCUCGAGUGGUGGGGAUGAUUAUUUGGCCUAAAGCGUCCGUAGCCUGCCGGAUAAGUUCCCCGUUAAAUCCAACGUCUCAAGCGUUGGACUGCGGGAAAUACUGUCUGGCUAGAGAGUGGGAGAGGUCAGCGGUAUUCUGGGGGUAGGGGCGAAAUCCUUUGAUCCCCGGAGGACCACCAGUGGCGAAGGCUGCUGACUAGAACACGUCUGACGGUCAGGGACGAAAGCUGGGGUAGCGAACCGGAUUAGAUACCCGGGUAGUCCCAGCCGUAAACGAUGCAUGCUAGGUGUUGGGUUGGCCACGAGCCACCCCAGUGCCGCAGGGAAGCCGUUAAGCAUGCCGCCUGGGAAGUACGGUCGCAAGAUUGAAACUUAAAGGAAUUGGCGGGGGAGCACCACCAGGCGUGAAGCCUGCGGUUUAAUUGGAGUCAACGCCGGG
rnacentral:rRNA from 1 species